UCUUGCUCUUAGAGGAUUUCCUGAGCCAGUCUGAAGUGACUUCUGAAGGCAGGAAACACGCUGACCACCUACUAUGUGCCACUCCCUGCUCUAGCACUGUAAUUCCCUGGCGGAGCUAAUGGGUCCAGGGCAGCCGUGAGGUAAUGGGGAUCUUACUAAAAGGCUGGAAGGCCUGCAGUCAAUCCCCAGGCACAAGGCAGAUGCCACCCCAGAUCAGCCCACUGCAAGUGGGGAGGUCGGCAGGUCCCUAGGAGAGACACAUGCAACCACAGGGGUGGUGUAGGCGUCUGUCGCACAAGGAACUGAGAAAUCCCUCAGCCCAUCUUCAAGACAGGAAUGCAGAGGCCCUGGGAGGCUGCCCAAAGCCACGUGUCACCUCCUCAGACAAGCAGCCCUGGAUGUGAUUCACUGCUCCACGACUCAGGGUCCCCCGCACCAGAGCAUGAGCAUGGGUGUUGCUGGGAGAUGGCAAAGUAAAUCCCAAACCCACAGAGUCAACUUCCCAUUUCU
rnacentral:lncRNA from 1 species